AUGUCAUUACAAAAGAAAGUUAAAGAAUAUCUUUUCUCCAUGAUAGAUGCAAGAAGAAGGCAUCCUCGUGCUUUCUGUCUGUCUGUCUGACUGCGGCAGCCCAGAUUGAAUGGAGGAAUACAGAG
rnacentral:snoRNA from 1 species